GGGUCGUUGCGAUUACGGGUUGGAUGUCUAAUUGUCCAUGAACUUAGCCGAUACAAAGCUAUAUGAUAGCACC
rnacentral:tRNA from 1 species